rnacentral:rRNA from 1 species
GACGAACGCUGGCGGCGUGCUUAACACAUGCAAGUCGAACGGAAAGGCCCUGCUUUUGUGGGGUGCUCGAGUGGCGAACGGGUGAGUAACACGUGAGUAACCUGCCCUUUACUUUGGGAUAACUUCAGGAAACUGGGGCUAAUACCGGAUAGGAUCUCCUGCUGCAUGGUGGGGGUUGGAAAGUUUCGGCGGUUGGGUAUGGACUCGCGGCUUAUCAGCUUGUUGGUGGGGUAGUGGCUUACCAAGGCUUUGACGGGUAGCCGGCCUGAGAGGGUGACCGGCCACAUUGGGACUGAGAUACGGACCAGACUCCUACGGGAGGCAGCAGUGGGGAAUAUUGCACAAUGGGCGGAAGCCUGAGGCAGCAACGCCGCGUGCGGGAUGACGGCCUUCGGGUUGUAAACCGCUUUCGCCUGUGACGAAGCGUGAGUGACGGUAAUGGGUAAAGAAGCACCGGCUAACUACGUG